AGGAAGGAGAAGUCGUAACAAGGUUUCCGUAGGUGAACCUGCGGAAGGAUCAUUGUCGAGACCGAAAAUUAUCGAGCGAUUCGGAGAACCCGUGAAGCAAGCGGCUGCCGCCGUGAAAUGGUCGUCCCGGCCGUCGCACCGCUUCCUUCGGGGGCGGGCCUCGGACUUGGGACGAAUGAAACACAAACCGGCGCCGUUCCGCGCCAAGGAAAUAUCGACAUACGCGAGCCCCCGCAACGGGGCUCUGUGACGCGGAGUGGUUGCACUCCGCAUGGACUGACACGACUCUCGGCAAUGGAUAUCUCGGCUCUCGCAUCGAUGAAGAGCGCAGCGAAAUGCGAUACGUGGUGCGAAUUGCAGAAUCCCGCGAACCAUCGAGUCUUUGAACGCAAGUUGCGCCCGAGGCCAUCCGGCCGAAGGCACGUCCGCCUGGGCGUCAAGCGUCGCGUCGCUCCGCGCCAAGUCCGCACCGACGGUGCGCCGACGAGGCGCGGACGUGCAGGGUGGCUCGUCGUGCCCGCGGGCGCGGCGGGCUGAAGAGCGGGUUAUCGUCUCGUCGGGCACGAACGAACGACAAGGGGUGGAUGAAUGCUACGGCCUGUGUUGUCUCGUGGUGCCCGAGCGAACAUGAUGCCCUCCAAGCGAUCCCGACCCGGGAGCCGAUCUACAUGCGGCGGCUCGGGAAUGCGACCCCAGGAUGGGCGAGGCCACCCGCCGAGUUUAAGCAUAUCAAUA
rnacentral:rRNA from 1 species